rnacentral:rRNA from 1 species
UACGUAGGGGGCGAGCGUUGUCCGGAUUUACUGGGCGUAAAGAGCGUGUAGGCGGCCCGGUAAGUCCGCUGUGAAAGUCGGGGGCUCAACCCUCGAAUGCCGGUGGAUACUGUCGGGCUAGAGUGCGGAAGAGGCGAGUGGAAUUCCUGGUGUAGCGGUGAAAUGCGCAGAUAUCAGGAGGAACACCAAUUGCGAAGGCAGCUCGCUGGGACGUAACUGACGCUGAGACGCGAAAGCGUGGGGAGCAAACAGG